GGCCCUACGGGUGGCAGCAGUCGGGAAUUUUGGGCAAUGGGCGAAAGCCUGACCCAGCAACGCCGCGUGAAGGAUGAAGUCUUUCGGGAUGUAAACUUCGAAAGAAUAGGAAGAAUUAAUGACGGUACUAUUUAUAAGGUCCGGCUAACUACGUGCCAGCAGCCGCGGUAAUACGUAGGGACCAAGCGUUGUUCGGAUUUACUGGGCGUAAAGGGCGCGUAGGCGGCGUGGUAAGUCACUUGUGAAAUCUCUUAGCUUAACUCAGAACUGCCAAGUGAAACUGCUGUGCUAGAGUGCAGAAGGGGCAAUCGGAAUUCUUGGUGUAGCGGUGAAAUGCGUAGAUAUCAAGAGGAACACCUGAGGUGAAGACGGGUUGCUGGGCUGACACUGACGCUGAGGCGCGAAAGCUAGGGGAGCAAACGGGAUUAGAUACCCCGGUAGUCC
rnacentral:rRNA from 1 species